AUACGGAGGGUGCAAGCGUUAAUCGGAAUUACUGGGCGUAAAGCGCGCGUAGGCGGCAAGAUAAGUUGGAUGUGAAAGCCCAGGGCUCAACCUUGGAACUGCAUCCAAUACUGUCUUGCUCGAGUGUAAUAGAGGGGGGUGGAAUUUCUAGUGUAGCGGUGAAAUGCGUAGAUAUUAGAAGGAACAUCAGUGGCGAAGGCGGCCCCCUGGAUUAACACUGACGCUGAGGUGCGAAAGCGUGGGUAGCGAACAGGAUUAGAAACCCUAGUAGUCC
rnacentral:rRNA from 1 species